GAUGGAGGUGGAGCCGCCGGGGCCGCUGCGGUAUCUGAUUGGGGCGGCGAUUAUGAUGGUCGGCGUGGUACUCCCGCUCGGGUACAUGAUGUUCUGCAUCAAGCGCGUUCCUUCGUCAUCCUCGACCUACUCCAAACAGACGACUAAAGGGCUGAUAUAGGGAUCAUCGGGAGCUUUUCUCUGCUGCCAAUGGUCAUCCCGUUACAGUGGAAUGAGGAAAUUACUGGCGAGUAUACCAUUAAUGAUGUUUCGAUAUUUUUGUUUUUUCCUUUCGUUGGUGUAUUUAGAGGUUUUUGUGUACUUUGUAUCUGAUUUUAGUUAGAAUAGAAAUUUCUAGCUGGAAAAUUUGCUUGUCAGUAUGGUUGGUUCCAGUCUCUACUAUGUCAUUGUCAAAAUGUUUGGUUGCUAAUUGCUUUGAUUCGAGUAAAAAUUAAGUCUUGAGAGGGAGGCCCAUUCGACUGGCUUAAUUAAAGAAUUGUUAUGACAUAGGUGACUAACUAGUUCAUUAGAUGUUGUCAAUGGAUAAACUGUAUCGCGAGUCAAAAAUAAUUUGGUGAUACAGGGAACAGACGGGGUGUGGCUACGCCAGUCGAUGAAUUGCUCUGAUAAUGUAUUGGGCAGGAGCUUCAUUGGGUUAUAGGUCCUCUUUCUCUAGAGAUGAAUGGUAUGGUGCUCUAGUAACCUUUGCUUCUGUCUGUCGGGAGGGAAGAAACCUAUUCAAGCAUUUCGUCUAUCAAAAGAGAUUGUGUUAUUCCUAGCCGUAGCACACAUCUCUUACCAUUCGUUUCAAGUCAGCAGCUGCCAACAUUGUUUUCGUGGUACCUUCUUUCUUUCCUGUUGUGCUAGGACUAAGGCCCUUUACAGAACGAGGCCCAUGCUUUGUGUAGCACUGGGGCAGGAAGAUAGGCUCUAGAUAGAUGCAGUAGUCGCUUUGAAGCAGGUUCAUCUAUCCAACCUGGCUCGGAUACCAGCUUGUUCCUCUUGGGAUUUCCCCCGUUUCAUCUGGCUGUGGCUUGAUACUGACUGUUGUAACAAUACUUGGCUGCUCAGAUUCAUAUUUACAGUCUAAUAUCUCGCUUUUAAGUUUUAUCUAUCUGAAAGUAAUAAGCAAGCUUCAAGCAUCUGAAACUAAAAAGUGAAGUCCUUGUUUUUCUAUUAUACACUAUAGGUGUAUGCUUGUUUUCCUUCUUUGACUACCCAUAUUGCUCCCUCUCAAUGAUAUAUUUUCUUUUCUGUUGAAUUAACUGGUUUUUGGUCAAUCAUUAUGAAUUUGUAACUUUUUUUUUUUUUGGGUUUCCACAUGAGAGUUAGGGCUUGUAUAUACGAAUGUGUCUCUAAAAAUUGAGCAAUAAUGUAACUCUGCCACUUAAUAGACAUCAGAGCAAUAUCUUCCCAAUAUAUUCCUGUUCUUUUCAUUACUAUAAGUAGUUGAUGAAUGCCCAAAUGUGCAUUUUAAACUUGGAGCAGUUUACGAUGUCUUGCUAGUGAUUUUUCAAGUUGCAUCUCAUCGUUAACUAAUCUCAUACGGUUGGUGGUUGGUUUUGAGCAUUUUUCUUCCAGCACUUUUUUGUAUUUGAAACUGGCUAUCUUAAUGCCAAUCAAUGCCUUUUUUUUCAUUACUACAUUUUCUACUUAUGAUACUGUUUCAGUAAAGGUUAAAAUACUUCAACUAUCAUCAUCUUGUUUAUCUACUAAGCUGGAACAGAAAAUUGUUGUAAUUUUUAUUUAUUUAUGUUAAUUAAUCAUGCAAAAUGCCUGAGAAAUUUCAUUUGAGUUCAACUUUGUGUACAGAACGAGUGAGAUUUGGUUAGAAUACGAAUUAUGAGAAGGGAAUUCUAUACACAGGACGAGUGAAAUUUGUAGAUAAUGAACAAAAGUUCAGUAUGUCUCUCUGAAACUACUUGAAAAGAUAGUGAAAUUUGUAGAUGAUGAACAAAAUUUCAGUAUCUCUCUGAAGCUACUAGAAACGAUAAAGAACAUUGCAUUUUUAAAAACAAAGCAGCAUUUCAACUGCUACUGAAAUUUGAUUCUAGUUGUGAUUUAACAUUUGUCUAACAACUAUUUUCAUGAAUCCUGAAAGUGAUAUCAAUGAAAAGUUAACCCAAAGGACAACCUAGCUAAUAAUUAGAUCACCCUCCCUUGUGUUCUGACAUGGUAAGCUGUAAUGAAUCAAGACUAGCUGGAUUAGUGAAGAACAUAAUGUUAAAAUAUCAACUUCAAAGCCACGCUAAAAAUAUUUUCUUUUUCUUGUUUUGAGAAAGAAGAAACUGAUGCAUGAACAUGGAGCAGGGUUUAAAAAAACCACCAAUUAACACCGAAUUACAGGUCUACUAUGAGACCUUUCACUGGUGAUCUUCUGCGAGGCUUGACUUGGAUAAUCUUCUACACAACUAUUGUUACAUCUGAGAUGAUGAUGAUGAUGAACAGUUAGCUAGCUGAAUGAAGUUUAUGUGUCCCCAACUGAUCAUUUAUACUGCUUCUGGGUUGGUCAUGUGCAAGAAAAUUAGGUUGUUGUUCUGUCAAUUAACUUUUAGAUCAUAAAUUAAUUUCAAUAGCUGGGUGUUUCCCAGGAUCAGGGCUAGUGAACAAGAUCCAAUGUGUGGUGAGCUGUGCAUCCUCCCACCGGGUAAAGCAUUGUCAAUUUUUAUUCUUGGAGUCUGCUUGUCUGCACCGAUACAAUUCUACUGUUUGUUAUAUAGGAAGUUCUAAGAAAUCUUUUGUCUUA